rnacentral:rRNA from 1 species
UUCCUUGAACCGCAUGGUUCAAGGAUGAAAGACGGUUUCGGCUGUCACUUACAGAUGGACCCGCGGCGCAUUAGCUAGUUGGUGGGGUAAUGGCUCACCAAGGCGACGAUGCGUAGCCGACCUGAGAGGGUGAUCGGCCACACUGGGACUGAGACACGGCCCAGACUCCUACGGGAGGCAGCAGUAGGGAAUCUUCCGCAAUGGACGAAAGUCUGACGGAGCAACGCCGCGUGAGUGAUGAAGGUUUUCGGAUCGUAAAGCUCUGUUGUUAGGGAAGAACAAGUGCGAGAGUAACUGCUCGCACCUUGACGGUACCUAACCAGAAAGCCACGGCUAACUACGUGCCAGCAGCCGCGGUAAUACGUAGGUGGCAAGCGUUGUCCGGAAUUAUUGGGCGUAAAGGGCUCGCAGGCGGUUUCUUAAGUCUGAUGUGAAAGCCCCCGGCUCAACCGGGGAGGGUCAUUGGAAACUGGGAAACUUGAGUGCAAAAGAGGAGAGUGCAAUUCCACGUGUACCGGUGACAUGCAUAGAGAUGUGUACGAACACCACUGACAAAGGUAACUCCCUGGUCUGUU